rnacentral:misc_RNA from 1 species
GAUGAAGAACGCAGCGAAAUGCGAUAAGUAAUGCGAAUUGCAGAAUUUCCGUGAGUCAUCGAGUCUUUGAACGCACAUUGCGCCCCUUGGUUUACCAGGGGGCAUGUCUAUCCGAGCGUCGUUACACCCCUCAAGCCUGGCUUGGUCUUGGGGCGCGCCCUGCCUGGCAGGGCCGCCCUCAAAUGUAACUCGACGUGCCUAUUUGUUCGGGAGCGCAGCAGUUUUGCGGCUUUCGCUGGUUCCGUGGAGCCGCCCCUGGCGGACCUCUCUGGUUGACCUCGGAUUAGAUAAGGAUACCCGCUGAACUUAAGCAUAUCAAUAAGCGGAGGA